GAUACAUCUCAGAAAAAUCAUAAAAAAACAUAUGUAUAAAAUCAGUGCUUGGUUUGAUUUUGAUUCAGCAUAGGUUCGGUACAAUUCCAGUUAGGUUCUUAACAAAAAACUAAAACUAAACCAAAACAGCAAAAUAAGACCAGUUUUGUACGGUUUUUCAAUUUGGUUCGGGACCCCAAGAACCAUGCAUACCGCUAGUAACCAUGUGUAAUUGAAGUUUUGGUGAGCUAUUGUAACAACACCCAAGUCCUCAUACUUAUUGGCCUUUUGAGAUGCAG
rnacentral:misc_RNA from 1 species